rnacentral:rRNA from 1 species
GAUGAACGCUGGCGGCGUGCCUAAUACAUGCAAGUCGAGCGAACAGAUGAGGAGCUUGCUCCUCUGACGUUAGCGGCGGACGGGUGAGUAACACGUGGAUAACCGACCUAUAAGACUGGGAUAACUUCGGGAAACCGGAGCUAAUACCGGAUAAUAUAUUGAACCGCAUGGUUCAAUAGUGAAAGACGGUUUUGCUGUCACUUAUAGAUGGAUCCGCGCCGCAUUAGCUAGUUGGUAAGGUAACGGCUUACCAAGGCAACGAUGCGUAGCCGACCUGAGAGGGUGAUCGGCCACACUGGAACUGAGACACGGUCCAGACUCCUACGGGAGGCAGCAGUAGGGAAUAUUCCGCAAUGGGCGAAAGCCUGACGGAGCAACGCCGCGUGAGUGAUGAAGGUCUUCGGAUCGUAAAACUCUGUUAUUAGGGAAGAACAAAUGUGUAAGUAACUAUGCACGUCUUGACGGUACCUAAUCAGAAAGCCACGGCUAACUACGUG